rnacentral:rRNA from 1 species
UACGUAGGGGGCUAGCGUUGUCCGGAAUCAUUGGGCGUAAAGAGCGUGUAGGCGGUCCGGUAAGUCCGCUGUGAAAGUCGGGGGCUCAACCCUCGAAUGCCGGUGGAUACUGUCGGGCUAGAGUGCGGAAGAGGCGAGUGGAAUUCCUGGUGUAGCGGUGAAAUGCGCAGAUAUCAGGAGGAACACCGGUGGCGAAGGCAGCUCGCUGGGACGGUACUGACGCUGAGGCGCGAAAGCGUGGGGAGCAAACAGG